GACGAACGCUGGCGGCGUGCUUAACACAUGCAAGUCGAACGGAAAGGCCCUGCUUUUGUGGGGUUCUCGAGUGGCGAACGGGUGAGUAACACGUGAGUAACCUGCCCUUGACUUUGGGAUAACUUCAGGAAACUGGGGCUAAUACCGGAUAUGAUCUCCUGCUGCAUGUUGGGGGUUGGAAAGUUUCGGCGGUUGGGGAUGGACUCGCGGCUUAUCAGCUUGUUGGUGGGGUAGUGGCUUACCAAGGCUUUGACGGGUAGCCGGCCUGAGAGGGGGACCGGCCACAAUGGGACUGAGAUAGGGCCCAGACUGCUACGGGAGGCAGCAGUGGGGAAUAUUGCACAAUGGGCGGAAGCGUGAUGCAGAAACGCCGCGUGCGGGAUGACGGCCUUCGGGUUGUAAACCGAUUUCGACUGUGACGAAGCGUGAGUGACGGUAAUGGGUAAAGAAGCACCGGCUAACUACGUG
rnacentral:rRNA from 1 species